GAUGAACGCUAGCGGCAGGCCUAAUACAUGCAAGUCGAACGGUGUCUUCGGACAUAGUGGCGCACGGGUGCGUAACACGUAUGCAACCUACCUUACAUUGGGGGAUAGCCUUUCGAAAGGGAGAUUAAUACCGCAUAAGACAGUAGCUGGGCAUCCAGCAGCUGUUAAAGAUUUAUCGAUGUAAGCUGGGCAUGCGUCCAAUUAGCUAGUUGGGGAGGUAACAGCUCACCAAGGCAAUGAUUGGUAGGGGAACUGAGAGGUCAAUCCCCCACACUGGCACUGAGAUACGGGCCAGACUCCUACGGGAGGCAGCAGUAGGGAAUAUUGGGCAAUGGACGCAAGUCUGACCCAGCCAUGCCGCGUGCAGGAUGAAGGCGUUAUGCGUUGUAAACUGCUUUUAUACAGGAAGAAACGACUCUUGCGAGAGGCAUUGACGGUACUGUAUGAAUAAGCACCGGCUAACUCCGUGCCAGCCGCCGCAGUAAUAC
rnacentral:rRNA from 1 species